UACAGAGGGUGCAAGCGUUAAUCGGAAUUACUGGGCGUAAAGGGCGCGUAGGUUGUAAUGUAAGUUAGAUGUGAAAUUUCCGGGCUUAACUUGGAAAGGUCAUCUAAAACUGCAUAACUAGAGUAUAGUAGAGGGAAGGGGAAUUUCCGGUGUAGCGGUGAAAUGCGUAGAUAUCGGAAGGAACAUCAGUGGCGAAGGCGCCUUCCUGGACUAAUACUGACACUGAGGCGCGAAAGCGUGGGUAGCGAACAGG
rnacentral:rRNA from 1 species